GAUGAACGCUGGCGGCGUGCUUAACACAUGCAAGUCGAACGGCAAACCUUUUAUUGCAUCCUCUGCAGAUUUAGCUGGUUUCUAGUGGCGGACGGGUGAGUAACGUGUGGUUAACCUGCGCUAUUCAGGGGGAUAACAUCCAGAAAUGGUUGCUAAUAACGCAUAAGUGCACAGGGCCGCAUUGUCCGGUGUGAACAACUCCGGUGGCCGAGGUCGGAUCCGCGAUGUAGUAGGCUGUUGGCCGGGUAACGGGCUAGCAAAGCGACGAUCCACACCCGGGCUGUGAGGGUGGACGGCCACACUGGGACUGAGACACGGCGCGGAAUCCUGCGGGAGGCGGCAAUGGGGAAUAUUGCACAAUGGGGGAAACCCUGAAGCAGCUAGGCCGCGUGAAGGAAGAAGUAUGUCAGUAAGAAAACUACUAUCAGCAGGGAAGAUAGUGACGGUACCUAACGAAGAAGCCCCGGCUAACUACGUG
rnacentral:rRNA from 1 species